UACGAAGGGGGCUAGCGUUGCUCGGAAUUACUGGGCGUAAAGGGCGCGUAGGCGGAUAUUUAAGUUAGAGGUGAAAGCCCAGGGCUCAACCCUGGAAUAGCCUUUAAUACUGGAUAUCUUGAGUUCGGGAGAGGUGAGUGGAACUCCGGGUGUAGUGGUGAAAUGCGCAGAUAUCAGGAAGAACACCCGCGGCGAAGGCGGCUCUCUGGGACGGUACUGACGCUGAGACGCGAAAGCGUGGGGAGCGAACAGG
rnacentral:rRNA from 1 species